CGGCUGUGCCCGAGCGGCGGCAGCAGCAGCCGCGCCGGCAGGAGCAGCGCCGGCGGCUUGGCCACAGCGGCGGCACCGGGGCCGCUCGCUCCGCACGCCUCGGUGCCCGGAGCCGCCCUGCCCGGCGCUGCCCGGCGACGGGAGGGCGGAGGUGCUCCUCGGCGGGCGCGGCGGGGAGGGGGCGGUGCCGUGUUGCCGCUGCCGCGGAGCGGAACGGAGCUGCUGCAUCCUCAUCCCCAUCCUCAUCCUCACCUCCCCUCCCUCGGCGCGACCCUGCCGGCUCCCCCCGCCCAGGGGGGCGGGAAGGCAGCGGGCGCUGCCCGCGGUCGCGGCGCGCCCCGAAGUGGCUCCGCACGGCGUUUCCCCCACCCCGCCCGCUGCCGCCGAUAAAUCCCAGCGCCGGGAGCAGCGCGGCACUCGGCGGCUGCCGCGCUGCGGGGAGGCGGCGGAGCUCGGCCCCCUCCCCGCGGCGGACACCCCCAACAGGGGCUACAGGAGCCGCGGCCGCCGGGCUCAGGCACUCAGCCCUCAGGUGUGUUUGUCACCUUCAGCAACAGAUGAAGCAGACAGUGACUCCACCAGCAUGAGUAUGCAAGAAGUCAUCUGCUCUACAACCAGUGCUGCUCCAGCAGAUCGCAAGUGUGUGAAGGUGGUGCAGGGCCCAAACCACCUCCCAGCAGAAAGUGCCUUGGACUCACUGAUGAAGUCCUCAGCAGGACAGGACAAACAGAAUGCCCUGGGCUCUGGAGCAGUAGAGAGAAGACAGUUGGACAAGCAAGGACAGUGGGAGAGUGGCUGGGGAGUAGGCACUGCAGGAGAGUGGACAUGA
rnacentral:lncRNA from 1 species